ensembl:lncRNA
AGUGCUUCAACUUUAUACCAUCGCUCAUCACUACGGUAACAAUACUUUACAAUAACUAGCUUUUAUUUCCAACAUAUUGAUCCAACCAAACCACCAAUUCACCUAUCCAUUGAUCCGUUCAAUGAUUGAUUAAUUAAACAUAUUCAAUAAGUAUUUUUACACUUCAAAUACUGUAAUAAUUUAUUGUUUGUAAUUUACCAAAUGUUUGUAGGCCGACUGUAUGUUGUGGAUUGUUUGUAAAUUAUAUAAAUUCUACUGUGCAGCAUAAUAAAGUAUGUAUUAUUAUUAAUAAUAUUAAAUCAAAUAUCACAUAUCAAUGAAGUAGUAUUUUACAUCAGAUAUCACCUAGAGACAUCGGAUACUUUAAUAGUGAGAAUAUAUUACAUAAUAAUAUAAAAUAAAUCACUUUCUAAACAACAAAUAAUAACAAUAGUUUAUUUUGGGGCUUUUUAAAGGUUAUUCAUAAUGGGGCUUUUAAAGGUUAUUCAUAAUAGGGCUUUUAAAGGUUAUACAUCAUGGGGCUUUUAAAGGUUAUUUAUCAUGGGGCUUUUAAAGGUUAUACAUCAUGGGGCUUUUAAAGGUUAUUCAUAAUAGGGCUUUUAGAGGUUAUACAUCAUGGGGCUUUUAAAGGUUAUUCAUAAUGGGGCUUUUAAAGGUUAUUUAUCAUGGGGCUUUUAAAGGUUAUACAUCAUGGGGCUUUUAAAGGUUAUUUAUCAUGGGGCUUUUAAAGGUUAUACAUCAUGGGGCUUUUAAAGGUUAUUUAUCAUGGGGCUUUUAAAGGUUAUUUAUCAUGGGGCUUUUAAAUGUUAUUUAUCAUGGGGCUUUUAAAGGUUAUUUAUCAUGGGGCUUUUAAAGGUUAUACAUAAUGGGGCUUUUAAAGGUUAUUUAU